rnacentral:rRNA from 1 species
UACGUAGGUGGCAAGCGUUGUCCGGAAUUACUGGGUGUAAAGGGAGUGUAGGCGGGAUUUUAAGUCAGAAGUGAAAAUUACGGGCUCAACUCGUAACCUGCUUUUGAAACUGAAAUUCUUGAGUGAAGUAGAGGCAAGCGGAAUUCCUAGUGUAGCGGUGAAAUGCGUAGAUAUUAGGAGGAACACCAGUGGCGAAGGCGGCUUGCUGGGCUUUUACUGACGCUGAGGCUCGAAAGCGUGGGGAGCAAACAGG